GGUUUAAUUACCCAAGUUUGAGGUAAUUGAAUGUUUCAGCCCAGAGUUUCGGCUCAUGUGGCUUGAAAAUAAAUUUUGGAACGUCCUGUGCUAAACGGGACAAA
rfam:Setaria digitata clone Sd6 5S ribosomal RNA intergenic spacer region.